UACGUAGGGUGCAAGCGUUGUCCGGAAUUAUUGGGCGUAAAGAGCUCGUAGGCGGCUUAGUAAGUCGGGUGUGAAAACCCCAGGCUCAACCUGGGGACGCCACCCGAUACUGCUAUAGCUAGAGUCCAGUAGGGGAGUGUGGAAUUCCCAGUGUAGCGGUGAAAUGCGCAGAUAUUGGGAGGAACACCAGUGGCGAAGGCGGUGCUCUGGGCCGGAACUGACGCUGAGGAGCGAAAGCGUGGGGAGCAAACAGG
rnacentral:rRNA from 1 species